rfam:Pan troglodytes isolate Yerkes chimp pedigree #C0471 (Clint) chromosome 7, whole genome shotgun sequence.
CAACAGGAAUUUUUAAAUUCCAUUUAAUAUUAAAAUACAAAUAACC